rnacentral:lncRNA from 1 species
AAACAUAAAAGGUGGGUCAGGCAAACUGGAAGUGGUAGAUUUGCGGUUGUUGCAUUCCUCCUCAAGCCGAAUGAAAGUGGUGAGUUUGCCGCCCCAUACAUAAGACCUAAAAGCAAGCUUUUUUUUUUUUUUUUUCUAUUUAUUACCGUUAAGUAUUAUUUCAUGAAUGUUGCCAGAUUUUCUUUGUUUAUUACUUCACUAUCUACACAUAUCUGUGUUUCAUAUCUGGUCCCGUUAAAUUACUUAAUCUUUUUAUUCAUAAAAUUUCAUUUUUACCAUUAAAUUAAUGAUUAAAUAGUAAACAUAAGAUGCUAAAUAAUACAUUAGAAGAAUCAAAUAGUUAAAUUUUACAAAAUAUUUAUCCAGAAAAAUAGUUUUGUUUUGAUAAAAAAAAAAAAUCAGGAGUGUGACGGAACUAAACUUUAAAGAUUUUAUAGUAAUUUCUCUAAACAAUAGCGAAACGGGAUAGUAAAUUGCCCAAAUAUCUUGACCUACGGUGGCAGUAUUGCUCAUGCAUUUUCUUUUUUUUUUUUUCUUGGGGUAAUAGUAUUCAUAGUUUUGUGAGAGGUCUCGAAUCCUUUCUAUUACAAAAGUUAUUAUUAAUUUAAUGAAUAUUAUUCAAAUGGAAGAGUUGUCCCAUAAUAUAUAGCCCAGAAUAUUAUUUUAGUCUAUAGAAUCUUCUGUUUAGAGAAGAAAAAAUAUCAUCGGUAGUUUUUGUUGCGUAAUAGCUGAAAAGUGUGUUAAAUCUCGAGGGACACCAUUAUUUUUCCGUUGAAUUUGAUGGGAUGAAAAUCCUCAAGGCCACUAAUUUUCACACGUCAUAGAACUCCCUUAGUUUCUAAAUUCUAAUAAUAUGCAUAGAGUAUAGUUGCUGAGUUGCACAAACAAUCUUAUUCACAAAUGGCACUCAUAUAGUUAUAGUUUGUUACUUUUGACCUCACUCUUGUUCUAUAUACAAAACUCAACUCAAAAAAUUGUUUUCUAAUUAAAUUUGAUUACUUUUUUUUUUUUUUUUUUUUUUUUAUCCAUGCACGAUCACUCUGGGGGAUGAGGUGAGGAGAGCGAGAUUUCAACCUAAUCGCUUGGAAGUGCUGGAGAAAUUUUUACCAUUGGAUUAUAGCUUAAUCAUAUCAUAUUACAAAAUAUAAAUAUCGAGUCUGGGAAUGCUAGUAAUUUAAAUUAAGGAGGCAAAAAUUUAAGUAAUAAAGUUAAUUAAAGUAAUUCAGUUGUUAAGAUUGAUGAAAAAAAUAAUAAUAAGUGGUUGUAUUUAGAUGUGUAUAAUUGUUUAGUCUAAAAUGUGUGGAUCGAGCUCAUUGGAUUAAGCUUCUAUCAGGUUGUCUAGGCGUGGGUUGUAUAUGCAAGGAGUAAUGGGUCGUGGAUUGUUAGUUUGGAGAUAAGAAGAAAUAGAUAUGGACAAGAGAAAAGAAAUAUAUAGGUGAGAAAAUAUUGAGAAUAAGAGAGAGAAUAGAGAGAAUAAAUGUUAUUGCAUUCAAGUUUGUCUGUUUUAUUUCUCUCCCUCUCUUUCUCCCUCUUUCUCUAAAAACUUAAAACCUCUUUUCUCUUUUUCCAUGGGCGGCCACCGUGAGCUCUCACCGGUGGUCACCCUUUUUCUUUUUUUUUUUUUGGUUUUUUGCAAAUAAUUCUCAGAUCUGUUUACAGAUUUGAAUUAUUAUCGCCCAUAUAUUGGGAUUUAUUGUUCCCCGUAUAUUGAGAUUUUGUCCUCAAAUCUAGUUCUGAGUUAUUGUUAUCACCAUUAUAAUGAUUUUAUUUAGUGUCUUUUAUUAUUUAAAUAGUUAUGCAGAAAAAAUUGCAGAUCUCCUCUAUAAUAAAAGGAAUAAAUUUGAAUGUAAUCAGAUCGGAUUUGUAGAAAGACCAUGGAGUCGAACAGUGGCCAUGAAUUGCCAUCAAGUGGAGCAAGUGAUCGCUAUGACACAAAUAUUAUACUAUAUCAACUCGAUCAAAUACUUCAAAUCAAGAUUGUGCUUUUUUAUUUUCUGUAUAAGUGGUUUAUUAUUAGACUUUCUAUAUACAAAUUUUCAAUUAAUGAAAUUUUAGUUUGAUUUUUCUUAAAAUAAAAAAAAAGGUUUGUAUGUUUUGGAAUUCAUGUCCUUUACAAUAAUAUUUGCACCUAUUUAUGUAACUUGGAGAAGAGCACUCCAGGUAAAAUAGAUUUUCUAGAAUACUAACAG